rnacentral:rRNA from 1 species
UACGUAGGGGGCUAGCGUUGUCCGGAAUCAUUGGGCGUAAAGCGCGCGUAGGCGGCCCGGUAAGUCCGCUGUAAAAGUCAAAGGCUCAACCUUUGAAUGUCAGUGGAUACUGCCGGGCUAGAGUCCGGAAGAGGCGAGUGACUCCGUGGUGUACGGUGGAAUGCGCAGAUAUCAGGAAGAACACCGACGGCGAAGGCAGCUCGCUGGGACGGUACUGACGCUGAGACGCGAAAGCGUGGGGAGCGAACAGG